rnacentral:rRNA from 1 species
GUGGGGAAUAUUGCACAAUGGGCGCAAGCCUGAUGCAGCAACGCCGCGUGAGGGAUGACGGCCUUCGGGUUGUAAACCUCUUUUAGUAGGGAAGAAGCGAAAGUGACGGUACCUGCAGAAAAAGCACCGGCUAACUACGUGCCAGCAGCCGCGGUAAUACGUAGGGUGCAAGCGUUGUCCGGAAUUAUUGGGCGUAAAGAGCUCGUAGGCGGCUUGUCGCGUCUGCUGUGAAAUCCCGGGGCUCAACCCCGGGCCUGCAGUGGGUACGGGCAGGCUAGAGUGCGGUAGGGGAGAUUGGAAUUCCUGGUGUAGCGGUGGAAUGCGCAGAUAUCAGGAGGAACACCGAUGGCGAAGGCAGAUCUCUGGGCCGCUACUGACGCUGAGGAGCGAAAGCAUGGGGAGCGAACAGGAUUAGAAACCCUAGUAGUCC